rnacentral:rRNA from 1 species
AGCUAUAAGUUCUCUGUAGCGCAGCUAACGCAUUAAGCACUCCGCCUGGGGAGUACGACCGCAAGGUUGAAACUCAAAGGAAUUGACGGGGGCCCGCACAAGCGGUGGAGCAUGUGGUUUAAUUCGAAGCAACGCGAAGAACCUUACCAGGUCUUGACAUACUCGUGCUAUCCUUAGAGAUAAGGAGUUCCUUCGGGACACGGGAUACAGGUGGUGCAUGGUUGUCGUCAGCUCGUGUCGUGAGAUGUUGGGUUAAGUCCCGCAACGAGCGCAACCCUUAUUACUAGUUGCCAUCAUUAAGUUGGGCACUCUAGUGAGACUGCCGGUGAUAAACCGGAGGAAGGUGGGGAUGACGUCAAAUCAUCAUGCCCCUUAUGACCUGGGCUACACACGUGCUACAAUGGAUGGUACAACGAGUCGCCAACCCGCGAGGGUGCGCUAAUCUCUUAAAACCAUUCUCAGUUCGGAUUGCAGGCUGCAACUCGCCUGCAUGAAGUCGGAAUCGCUAGUAAUCGCGGAUCAGCACGCCGCGGUGAAUACGUUCCCGGGCCUUGUACACACCGCCCGUCACACCACGGAAGUUGGGAGUACCCAAAGUAGGUUGCC